rnacentral:misc_RNA from 1 species
AACCUAGCACACCUGCGGUGUGUACCUGCGGAGGGAUCAUUACACAAUAACAUAUGAAGGCUGUACGCGGCUGCGCCCUCGGGCCAGUUGGCUGAGGCUGGAGUAUUUAUUACCCUUGUCUUUUGCGCACUUGUUGUUUCCUGGGCGGGUUCGCCCGCCACCAGGACCACAUGAUAAACCUUUUUUUAUGCAGUUGCAAUCAGCGUCAGUACAACAAAUGUAAAUCAUUUACAACUUUCA